UUUUAAUAAUAUGCCUAUAACAUAUCAUGCUUAUUUCAAGACAAAAUAAUGGUUUCCUCCUAAUGGACUGUGGGCUUCCCUGCCCUAUUUGCUUAAUGACGUAGAGCAGUUUCCUUUUGUGCAUUAUUUGAGCAACUUCUGGUUGACACCAAGAACAAAGCUUAAAUUAAGUUUGUGGAGGAGAGGGAGGAGAAAGAUGGGGUGCCAGAUUCCCGUGGGAAGUGAGCAGAGGUAAGAAGAGCAAUGGAGGGAUUUGCGGCCCCUGCUAGAGUCUGCCAGGGUCCAGAAACAGAAUGUUCUGGAAGUGCUUCCUUCUCCCCAAAGCACCAGAAAUCUCAAGCUCUCUCUCUUUUUUUUUAAAUGGGAUUUGCAUAAGGAGUGAUCCCAGACUAGUAACAAGGGUGUAACCGGGGCCAGUCAUCUGGGCUGAUGGGCAGCUGGCCCCAGCUCAGCAUGGACAUGGAUCACUGCGGUCACUGGGUGCCCUGAGGGAUGGCAUGCUGCAGGCAGCAGUGGACACUUGGGAGCACGAGGGGCAGGGGGGCUGCAAACGGAACCAGAGGAGUGCCUUCCCUUGGCAGUAGUGCUGAGAGGGUGUCAUUGGCUUUAAGGCUGGUCAGGGCCAAUCUAGGGAGGGGGAGAGAUCUGAGGGACUCCCCACACCAUGAGCAGCUUGGUGGCCCAGAUGGGUGGUUUUGGGGAACUUUGUUCCCUGAGGAAGCUCACCCUCCUUCCAGGCAAAGAGCUUGAGGGAUUUAUGGAAACAGAUACCGAUUGUGGUGGGGGGUGAGGAGAUGGGCUUGAACUAAACUCCCCAACCCCCACCACUUCUCCAUCCCUGGUCAGAGGCAGACCCAGAAAAGACCAACUGGGCAAACCCUCACCAGCCCAGCCUGGCUCCAGAAGAAACCUCAGGUGACAGCUCAGAGGUUCUGUCGGCUGAGAAAGGGGCCCUGAAGACUUGGGCUGCAGCGGGGCUGCUGUGGACAUAACAGUUACCAGAGGUCGUACGUGUUGUGCUUACUGCAGGUUGAGCUCUGCUGCGGAUUCAUUUGUUCCUCCCAGCAGCCCCUGAACUGUGCACUCAGUGUCCCCAUUUUCCCAGGCACAGAGAUGUUAGCUGGUCAAGAUCACACAGGUGUAGGUGGCAGAGCUGGAUUUGAACCCAGUCAUGUGGGUUCAGGACCUUAAAAUCUGCCUGGGUUUGAUUUGUACCUUAGACCCAAAGGGACAGAGUGGCCAAUAUUUUUUCAGCACCAACAGACUUACUAGGUGACAUUAUCUCCAUUUCAUUCAUCUUCAGGGCUAUUAUUAUUAUUAUCC
rnacentral:lncRNA from 1 species